UCUAUUCAGAGUAUUUUUCUUUUUAGUGUUCAUUUGCUAGUCAAUAGUAAUAAUUGUACGGCCCUGAAAUCUCAGAUACAUAUACAUACGUGUACGGAAAAUACACAGGCUCAUCAUGAACUCACUUUAUUGUGGGAACUAUCCUCGUCACGCACCGCGUCCGUGCCUAAAAAGUAAAACUAUCGUGCAUUCGGUCUUUUAAGAAAGCAAAGCCAUACGAACAAGUAGCCAAGCACAGGCAAGCAACAACCUUGCUAGCAAUCGUUGAUGCUUGAAUAAAAUUGCUCGAUGAAAUUGGAUGGGAUCCAAUUAUACAUUGUAUAAUUCCGUAGUAUGCGGUGAUAAUAGUCAUGAUAAUGGUGAACAACGACUAAGAUUGAAUUAACCGUUCCUUGAGAAACUAUGAGGAUAAUAGGCAUUUUUUAUUAUUGUUUAUUGCACCAUUCAAAAGGCUAAAUUGUCUCUCUACAGUAUAAAGUGAAUUUUUCAAGUUCCUGGUGUGAAAAUAUGAGCAGGGAUGUAUUUCAAUACACAUAUCGAUUGUUGUCGCCGUAAGAAUAAAGACUCAGCGUUCUAAAGAAAGUACAUGAACGCAAUGUUACGUCACAGAAGGUCGUUCGUUGAAUAGAGAGAAAGACAUUUUUUUUGGCGCCACUCUGAAACCGGAUAAAGUUCAACGAGGAUUGUUGGUGGUGUUGAUACGGCGAGGAGCUUAACUCCGGUAACCUAGCUUUAUGAAGUCUAAUGAAACUCAUACAGCUAGAUAACCAAAGAAAAUGUCCCCGCCAAAAACUGCCAUUUUGGAAUUUUCAUCUUCCGGGAAUACCACUCCAUGAGCUGCUCGUCCUUGGAAAUUGGAUCCUAAAACAAAAUUGUUAGGGGUGAUGUUGGCUUUGUGUGAUAGAAGUCUCGUUAUCAUAGCUGUGGAGUAUCAAGCGGCUCACGAGGGUCUGAAAAGUGAAAGAACCGUUGACAUUUCGGAGUGAAAGUCGUCUUUAACGCCGCUCGUGUUCUUAGGCUUCGGCGCAGAUAAUGCCCAGCGGCUAACAGCACUUGGAAUUCUUAUUUGUUGCCGACCUGCUCGUUCACGCGUACUGCUUUACUUUGCCACCAGUGAAGCUACAAAAUUUAUGUGAGCUGUGCUAUUUGGAAGGAAAUUUACUAUGGAAAUUGUCUACUGGAAUGUGAGCGUAACGAAUAUUUCGAAAAGGACAAUAAGCACAAGAAAUUCAAAUAUAAGAAAACAGCCUUGAAGGAGAGUUAAACUAAGAACUGAUUUAGAUUUCAAAUUAGCGAAGUAAAUGUUAUAGCGAACACUCGAGGGUCGUCAUACGAUACGGCUUGUUGAUCUUUUCGAUUAUCAGCUAAUUCCUCCUUGUUUGUCCCUAGAUUUCGUAAUACAAAGAUCAUUGCUGAUGCGAAUAUCUGUGAAUCGUUUACGAAGAAGAAUAUUGAGAGCUCCAGGAAAAGUCAUUACACGUGAAAGCUGAAGAGCUACUAGAAGAAUAGAAAAAAUUCUAGUAAAGUAAUCUUGAAGUAAGUCAAUGCUCUGGAGUUCAACUAUAAAAGCUUUCAGGCCUGCCAAUGUCAAAUAAGAAACGAAAGGUUCAAAGUUAAAUUUUCAGCUGCAAGCGUCUGUCGUGUGGUAUUUUGCUUGUUAAAUAUUACGAAGCCGAGGAAGAGAAAAGCCAAGAGGCACGUACAAGGUUAAUGCACUAAUUUCGCUCAAGGAAUUCCUGCUGCGUGCAAUUUCGUAAAUGUACGCACGUUCCCAGAGGAUUGAAAGACAUUUUCUCUCUUGCGCGUCUACACAUGCCCGGACGCGCACAGCUCUUCACACACAUGCUCUUCGUCGAGAGCGAACCGGGUCACGGGGAUAAGGAAUACUAAUAGCCUCCAGUUUGCACUCGUGCUAAUUCGUACACGGAGUGAUCGAUGUUAACGUCUAGGAAGAAGAAGGAGGUGAAUAAUGUGUCAGGAAAGACAGAAAGUUGGCGAUCCCGAGGCCAUCCAGUAAUCUUACCAAAGAUAGAGAGACGAAUGACGGGCCGCUUGGUAGCCAGGAAAAUUCAAGGAGGAACGUUCAGGAGACUUCGCAAAACACCUUCCUGAAGAUGUUAACUUUCAUCGUUCGCUGGACAACGAAAGUUGGCUGUUGCUCGGAUUUAAGCAGAGCGAAAUCUCCAAUUAGUAAAAGGGACCUCCGCUCUUGUGCGGCAUGAUGCAAGCUGAACGAGGUUUGCCGCACGUAAUAAACUAUCGAAGAUCACCGUUUGAGGCAGAUGACUCUACAGGAUGUGUGCAACCAUUAAUAACUUUUUCCCAUGGCGUACAUUGUUAAGGCUCGGUGGGUCCAGGUAGAUCAGUUUGUCAGGUAGGAAUUCCACUGAUGGUACUCGAAUUUCGUGGAGUGCCGCACUAGACAAACGUUAGCGAAGUCACCACUGGAUACGAUUGUUUCAAUUUGACAAAUGACAAAAGGUAGAUAGGUACGUCGAACCAGUCAGGGAAGGUCUAGGUCUUGGAUCUCAAGAUUGGUAUACCAUCCGUGAGUGCGAGUGAGACCGAGCGAUGGGAGUUUGCGGACGUAAGAGAGAGACAGGGAUACCGUAGGCGUCUAGUUGCGAACGGGAUAUAACCUCUGGCUUACGUCUACAUUGCAAAGAGAUCUUAAACGAAGGAGAUAACCGGACAUGGCUAUGAUGACAAGAAGGCGGUUUUGCUUGAUGCGCUGACGAGCAAGCGACAUUGCGGUCGCGGCAAGCCGUGCAUUGAAGUCUCCACGCGACUAGAUAAGUAACGAGUACCUUGCAGCAUCGUUGGUUCCUCAGCAAUCGAAUAGAACCGUUCACGAACUUGAGCAAGUUGAACAGAUAUUUCAUCAGUGUAUAGUAUGCAGAAGAUGAGAUAUGUCAGAGUGCAACGAUUCUCCCUGCUUGCUCGGACUAGAGUGGACUCUGGAGCUGAUGCUCUUCGAGGUAGGAAGACCCGGAGGGAAGAGCGAUCAGCGCCAUCACUAUUCGAACUGCUUUCGCAUCCCUGGAGAAGGAGUCCCGGCAGAAGCGGUGAUGUCAUCGGUCGUCGAGUAGUCGACGCGCCUACGCUUCUACCAGUUCUUGGUCUUGGAGCUCUUUCGAGAAGUCACGGGAAGGCUAGAGUGCAAUUGCGCUUUGGUAUAUAAUGUUACUUCACGAUGGUCCGGGUAUUAUACCCAAGACGUCAAUGGAGAGUGUAGAAGACUCGCGUACCGGUUAUGCAGAUGGAGCCUGGCUGGACCUCCUCGCCAUCCAAGAGACCAUCGUCUCCGGUUCUACAGCCGGCAACCGGUGCUGCUUUACUUUUACAAUGUUCCUCCACGAAUUUCUAUACUGCUACACUUAAUCAAGGACCACGACCUUCCUCAGGAAUUACAUAUCAGUCGUGUCAGGAAUAAUGGACUACAGCAUUCCUACGACUUGUGCUCUUUCCCCGAAAUGACGGAAUUCACGUACCGGUUGGAAUUCUAUGAGCGAAUCGCACGUAUAUUUCGAAUGCGCGCUGCGUUCCACGAAUACAUUUGACUGGCACUCGCAUGGAAAGCAGAUCUACUUGGAGCAUCAGCGGUGAGAUAUUAUUAAAUAAAAGCGAUGCCAUUUUCGGCGCUGUACUGAGCAACCAAGUGAUAUACAUUAUAAAGUUUUUGGAAUUAAUAUCUAGUUACAAACGGAACCCAUGUAAAAGAAGAGAGAGCACUAAGUAAUAUUAUAGUGAACUUUGUACUUAGCUGAGUAAUAUUUAAACGAAGAGUAAUAUCCAUCUUUCAUUGGAAAUUAUGCAGUUCAAUGAAUUGCAAUUACAACUGAUUACUUGACUCGUGUCUCCCAGUCUUAUGACUAUUUGCAAUUAGCUGUUACAAUUAGUAUUCUAUCUUUAUGGGUACUCUCGUCUCUCUCAUUGUUCCUCUUCUUCAGGAACUCUCGAUCAGCAAUGUGGCAGAACGUUAAGGGCGCAGAAGACACGAGCCAAAGGUUUUUUCACCUAUCUAGUUGAUCGGCUCGUUGGCUGGUACUUGAUUCGUGGUAGAGCUGCAGUUCUUCUGGAUAGAAAACAAAGAACGGAACCGCGUUGGAAAAGCUUAGAAGAUGGUUUUGCGGUGACAAGACAGGAGUGUACGCAGAUUACGGAUGCUGGCUGAGAUGUCCGAGAUAGCGAACGAAUAUUCGAGCACCCCAAUGGGGUCCAUUAGGGCCAACGGCAGUUGGGCUAUUCGAGCGAGAUCGGAGCACCGGGGGAAAAACGGGGGAUCGCCAGGAUGACUGCCGGCCGUUCGGCCAGUCCGCCGGCCGGUCAAGCCGCAUUCCGUUGGCCAACCGACGCCUCGCUCUCUCAGACCCUUCGUCCGUCCUCCUUCUUCUCCUCCUCAUCUUCAUCCUCUUUUACCUCAUCCUUCACCUCCUCCAACACUUACAGACUCUACUGUAUAGCCCAUACGGUCUCUACGGUCUCCUUCCUCGUCCUACGAGCGCAGCAAAAUCCGUGUAGCCGGCGCCGAUAUUAUUUCAACUGGAUACUCUACUCCCCAUAUCCAUACGGUAUGCCAAACUACGCUUAAUAUACGAUCAUAAACUCUGAAAUAGAACGUAACACUAUGAACAUUUAAAAACUGUUACGUACGCAGGCACAUUAAUUCAAUGAUCAGAAAUAUUUCGCAAGAAUUUCCAUUUGAUCGACCCGGGAUGAAAGAUCCAUGGUGGUUUCAUAAAUAAAACCAACGAAGUUGAAUGUAUUUCAGAGCGUAACGUGGAGGUUAAUUUUAAAUUGCAUAGAAGCCAGAGCGCCAGGUCCUUAGAAAGAAACAAAAAAAGUAACAUCAAAUAGAAUGGGCAACCAGAGUCCAGAGCCCAAGUCCCAGAGGCCAAGAAGCUUCGAGAGGCUGGGUCCAAGAAUCGUGCCGGUUCCCUGUCGCCCACGCUCGCCCGUAAAAGUUGGCUUAAAAUCCCCCUCCACGUGGUGGGGCUGAUCUUUGCCGUCUCAUUCUUCUUCUGACUUCUCAUCUUGCUGUGCCAGGGCCCUCCCUGCCGCGCCGCAUCAAGAGAGGCCUCGGGGCUCAAGAAUGCUGGUCUGGGAAGACUGGGAAGACCGUAGCACUACGGCACCGCGUUACCGCGGUACGAUACGACGGUAGAACUCGUGAGGAGCCGCGCCGAAGUCUCGAGAAACACCGAGAGGGGAUUGAACACGGAGUCGGCUGGGACAAGUAACCGGAUGGCCUUGGUCUCGAGACUUGAGAUUCACAUAUAAGGGAUCCACUUGGGCUUGGCAAGAUUAAAAGGCAGGUGUCAUUAUUAAAUUACUACAGGUAGGACAGAGCACCAUCACCAUCCACGUCACUCUCUUCCAGAACUUUUCUACAAACUGUGGCAACCUCCUCUGCUGUGAGUCCUCCUUGCACUAGCUGCUUGCAAGUGCGCUCCAGGUCGCCAAAGCCCAAAACGCCAUCCUCGUCGAAGUCUUUACAUUAUAGGAAAUAGAAGUAUCUAAGACUUUAGAAGAACUUCAUAAUCCAAAAAUAGGUAAAAAGCAUACCAUAAAUCUUGAAGGCGUAGAAUACUUUAAGAUCACGAGGUGCCUGCUCGGAAAAUACCGACAUCAUCUCCAAGAAUUCCUCAAAACAGAUUCCCUCGUCGCUCGGGAGACCCGGGUCUCUGUACUUUGUAAAGACUUCAGAUAUUCUUUCUCUGAAUGGAUUUUCCUGAGAAGAAAAAUGGGUUCGUGA